GGUCCCAUUGUGCUGCGGCUCCCUGCCGCCUGCAGUCCGGGGCCGCGCCCCAUGCUGCCCGCCCACCCGCCAUGGAGUCCGGCCCCGACAGCCCAGCCGCCUCCGGCCCCACCGCCAUCCGCGAGGGCUGGUUCCGCGAGACCUGCAGCCUGUGGCCCGGCCAGGCCCUGUCACCGCAGGUGGAGCAGUUGCUCCACCACCGGCGAUCGCGCUACCAGGACAUCCUAGUCUUCCGCAGUAAGACCUAUGGCAACGUGCUGGUGUUGGACGGUGUCAUCCAAUGCACAGAGAGGGAUGAGUUCUCCUACCACGAGAUAAUCAACCUGCCUCUAUGCAGCCACCCCAACCCGCGAAAGGUGCUGAUCAUCGGGGGCGGAGAUGGAGGCGUCCUGCGCGAGGUGGUGAAGCACCCCUCCGUGGAGUCCGUGGUCCAGUGUGAGAUCGACGAGGAUGUCAUCCAAAUCUCCAAGAAGUUCCUGCCAGGGAUGGCUAUUGGCUAUUCUAGCUCGAAGCUGACCCUACACGUGGGUGAUGGGUUUUGAGUUCAUGAAACAGAAUCAGGACGCCUUUGAUGUGAUCAUCACUGACUCCUCAGACCCCAUGGGCUGCGCCGAAAGUCUCUUCAAAGAGUCCUAUUACCAGCUGAUUAAGACAGUGCGGCGGCCCCAGCGUCGCGUCUACGCGCGGGAUUACAGUAACCCGGUUGUCAGUGAUGAGUCAGAGUGCGUGGUGCUGAUGCUGCUGCCAUUUCAUCACCUUUGCGAGCGCAGCAUCCAUCCCUCCGCUCUCCGAGCGCCUGGGCCUACCCGACUUCGGGCUCCCAGGCCAGCGAUGCGCUCGCGGCAGAGCUAG